rnacentral:rRNA from 1 species
UACGUAGGGCGCAAGCGUUGUCCGGAAUUAUUGGGCGUAAAGAGCUCGUAGGCGGUUUGUCGCGUCUGCUGUGAAAACCUAAGGCUCAACCUUGGGCUUGCAGUGGGUACGGGCACGCUAGAGUUCGGUAGGGGAGACUGGAAUUCAUGGUGUAGCAGUGAAAUGCGUAGAGAUCAUGAGGAAGACCAGUGGCGAAGGCGGGUCUCUGGACAGUUCCUGACACUGAGGCACGAAGGCCAGGGGAGCAAACGGG